GUCUACGGUCAUACCACGUUGAAAACACCGGUUCUCGUCUGAUCACCGAAGUUAAGCAACGUCGGGCCCGGUUAGUACUUGGAUGGGUGACUGCCUGGGAAUACCGGGUGCUAUAGACU
rnacentral:rRNA from 1 species